rnacentral:rRNA from 1 species
UAGGGAAUCUUCCACAAUGGACGCAAGUCUGAUGGAGCAACGCCGCGUGAGUGAAGAAGGCUUUCGGGUCGUAAAACUCUGUUAUUGAAGAAGAACGUGCGUGACAGUAACUGGUCAUGCAGUGACGGUAUUCAAUCAGAAAGUCACGGCUAACUACGUGCCAGCAGCCGCGGUAAUACGUAGGUGGCAAGCGUUGUCCGGAUUUAUUGGGCGUAAAGCGAGUGCAGGCGGUCUUUUAAGUCUGAUGUGAAAGCCUUCGGCUUAACCGAAGAAGGGCAUCGGAA